ACCAGACUCCUACGGGAGGCAGCAGUGGGGAAUAUUGGACAAUGGGGGGAACCCUGAUCCAGCGACGCCGCGUGAGUGAAGAAGUAUUUCGGUAUGUAAAGCCCUAUCGGCAGGGAAGAAGCAAGACGGUACCUGACUAAGAAGCCCCGGCUAACUACGUGCCGGCAGCCGCGGUAAUACGUAGGGGGCGAGCGUUAUCCGGAUUCACUGGGUGUAAAGGGAGCGUAGACGGCCAUGCAAGCCAGGGGUGAAAGCCCGGGGCCCAACCCCGGGACUGCCCUUGGAACUGCAUGGCUGGAGUGCGGGAGGGGCAGGCGGAAUUCCUGGUGUAGCGGUGAAAUGCGUAGAUAUCAGGAGGAACACCGGUGGCGAAGGCGGCCUGCUGGACUGCAACUGACGUUGAGGCCCGAAAGCGUGGGGAGCAAACAGGAUUAGAUACCCCUGUA
rnacentral:rRNA from 1 species